UGAACCUGUAAGACAGGGAGGGACUUCAAUGGAAAGUGAAUUAAAUUUUCAAUAUUUUGUUUAUACAGAGCAAGAAACCGGGUUUUAAAAUUCCAGAUCCUCGGAGGCAGGGCCCAACCAGCAGUGUAACUUCAGCAGCAUAUCCGUGGAAGGAAAAGAUGGACAGGUACCAAAACUGUCUGUUAAUGCAGCAGGACAUCCCCCAUCAUCAGCCCUUACUCACCAUGUCAGCACCUUCAAAACGAAGCAAGACUCCUAUAGCAAUUAAGCAGUACCCACCUCCACUCUUUGUGAAGCUGAGCCAAGAGAGCUGUCAGAAACAAGCGGCUUUUUGUAGUCUGAUUCAGCAAGGCAAGUGGAUACCAUCAAAAAGUUCAUCAUCUACUAUAACACCCAGCAUCCAAGACUCGAGAUUUUCCUGCAUCAUCCAGUAAUGCAAAUAUCAUCCAUGUGAGACAGGGAAAACCACAGUGGGCACCAUCUGAGCUGAGCUUGUGAUGCUGAACAUGUGAUGCUAACCAGAGGCUUAACAAAGAUGACAGGAAACUGAACGGUGGAUCAGGAAAAUGUCUAUGUGUGACAGGAGGGAGACAGUACUUGCAGCAUCAGGCAUUAUUACUAUGUUAGAAUACUCCUAGUCACAAAUAGACAGGAGGUAAAAAUGAAACCAGAAAUCUCAAUGAGGCAAAUUAAAUUACUGACAGUUGAGUAAAAUGUUAAAAAAAAAAAUUCUGUCCUGUGGGGGAAGAGUCACUAUUUUCUGUAUGACAGCCAAUAAAUUACAGUUAUUUUGUGAUGACUUUGCUUCC
rnacentral:lncRNA from 1 species